ACGGAAGGCAGCAGUGGGGAAUAUUGCACAAUGGGCGAAAGCCUGAUGCAGCGACGCCGCGUGAGUGAAGAAGUAUCUCGGUAUGUAAAGCUCUAUCAGCAGGGAAGAAAAUGACGGUACCUGACUAAGAAGCCCCGGCUAACUACGUGCCAGCAGCCGCGGUAAUACGUAGGGGGCAAGCGUUACCCGGAUUUACUGGGUGUAAAGGGAGCGUAGACGGUUUGGCAAGUCUGAAGUGAAAUGCGGGGGCUCAACUCCUGAACUGCUUUGGAAACUGUCGAACUAGAGUGCAGGAGAGGUAAGUGGAAUUCCUAGUGUAGCGGUGAAAUGCGUAGAUAUUAGGAGGAACACCAGUGGCGAAGGCGGCUUACUGGACUGUAACUGACGUUGAGGCUCGAAAGCGUGGGGAGCAAACAGGAUUAGAUACCCUGGUA
rnacentral:rRNA from 1 species